GAGUUGACAAACUUAAAGUAGAAUAAAUUUAACGAUACAUUAGUCAGGAACGAAAAAAGUAAUUGCAUUAUUUCUUAGUCGAUUUUUAUGUUUUCUCAAAAUCGGAACUUAUAGCCCCGGUCUCCCUUAGAAUAAGAAACGAUUAACGAUUAACUGUUUUAUUUCUAAUUUUUUACACAUGAAAUUUUUUUAAUAUACUGCUUAGAUUCUUCCAAUUGUGCGCGCAAUAAAUGUUAUGCAAUUUUUUUUUAACUGCGACAAAGGAGAAAAAGGGAAUGAAGAUGAAGAAACAGAAGUAGAAACGGAAGAAUUUCAAGAAGAAUCGCAUUAAAAGAUUUUUUAUGGGAUUGUGAACAAUGAAUUACGUAGGGCCAUCGAGGAAGUGACAUCUCACAGUGCAAGAUGUAUUGUGCUGUGAUAUAUUGUAUGCAAUCAUCAUCUUGCAUACAAUACAUACAAUUAAAUUAUUACAAUACAAUAAAUACAAUUUAAAUUAUUUUUCUUGUGCAAGGAAGAUUGAAUAGGAAAUAGAGGAAAACCAUCACCGUUGGCCACGAUACUACACGAUUCCACGGAUGAUUCGCCGCAAAACAAUUCAAUAUAGACUAUAAUCUUUCACAAUAAAUAUUAAAUAAAUAAAUGUAAUCGAGAUUA